rnacentral:rRNA from 1 species
UACGUAGGGUGCAAGCGUUGUCCGGAAUUAUUGGGCGUAAAGAGCUUGUAGGCGGUUUGUCGCGUCUGCCGUGAAAAUCCGGGGCUCAACCCCGGACUUGCGGUGGGUACGGGCAGACUAGAGUGAUGUAGGGGAGACUGGAAUUCCUGGUGUAGCGGUGGAAUGCGCAGAUAUCAGGAGGAACACCGAUGGCGAAGGCAGGUCACUGGGCCGCAACUGACGCUGAGGAGCGAAAGCAUGGGGAGCGAACAGG